AAUAAAAAUUAAAAUGUCAAUCCCUCGAUCCAAACGUUAACAAUGGAAACGACUUAUUUCAAUUUUCAUUCAAGUCUCAAAUACUUCAAACUAAACAUUCCCUUCAAAUAAAAUAAAAUGUAUCGUAUAAUCCUAAUCCCCUCAACUUCAUGCUUUUAGUUCAUUUUUUACUGGAGCAUUAGUUCUAGUUAAUCAGGAAAAAUAUAUUUUGAAAUUUAAUUAUUCUUCUAGGUAUUAACUAUAAAAUAUUUUAAUUUUAUCUACUAAAAAAAUAUGAUUAAAGCUGUUAAAUCA
rnacentral:lncRNA from 1 species